rnacentral:rRNA from 2 species
CGAGACCUCAGGUCAGGCGGGGUUACCCGCUGAGUUUAAGCAUA